rnacentral:lncRNA from 1 species
UGCAGUUGCGUGUGUGCUUGGCUCGUGUGCAUGUGUGUGUGUGUGGUGCGUGCGUGCCUGCUGAUUGAAAGUACAGGUACAGCCCUAUUACACUGAUUGUUUGCUACUGCCACUAAUUGCUAUGCCGAUGCUACUGAUUUUGCUGCUCCUUGGUUCCUAUACAGUAAACACUUGCUAUCGCCGCUGGUUGCUAUUGCUGCUGCCGCUGAUUGCUAUUGCUGUUGCUGCUGAUUUUCCUACUCCUUAGUACAUAUACACUAGAUAGAAGAUAAUAUGCAUUCCCAAAUAAAAGUAGAAGAUCAGUAUGUUUUAAAAUUCUUGCAAAUUGAAACAACUACUUGUUAUCUCUUCUCUAAUUCUCUUUUAUGCUCUCCAUUGCAAAAAAUUACUCAAUAUGUACAAUGCGUACAAUAAUAAUCACGGAACCCUCUAGCUCCUUUAUGAUUCCAUGGUUCCUUGUCCUUGCAAUUGUUAGUAUUAUUUGUACCACCUGUAUCUCAUCAUGUGAUUUUUUUUCCCUUGCAAUUUUUGUGCCUGCAAGAUGUCAGGUAACAGUCUUUCAGUAUCUAAACAGAUGCAGUAACUAUGAUGUUGGUAUGAAAAUGUCCUACAGGUCAGGUUUCCAACUGUUGACAAUAGAUGUGCAGAUCGAUAGAUUGUGUUAAAAUCAUUAACUUGCCUGGCCUGAUUGUGUAAGGGGUUAACUUGCUUUAAUGCCGUGCAGCUUCAGGGGCAGAUGGAAAUGUACAGCUUAUCACAUAAUCACAGAGAGUCGGGCAACCCAUUCGCUUACUUGAUAAACCCUCCCCUGGUUCAGGCCACUAAGGUGUCCAUUUCCUUGUCUCCUCCUCAUGAAGUAGCAUUCUUAUUUAUUCCAUAUCCUUAAUUUUUACACUAACUGGUCCAAUGAAUCUUUGUUAGUUAAGUGUGCCAAUAUAUGUCUAUUUUUUCCGGUCUUAAUGACAUGACAAAUGAUACAUGAUUAGGGAGCUGAGUUGUGACCAAAGAUCAAAUCCUCUUGGUUAUAUGAUAUUCUACAUUGGCAGCAAAGGUACAUGGGUAGUGUUUGCUAAAACUGG